rnacentral:rRNA from 1 species
AGUGAACGCUGGCGGUAGGCCUAACACAUGCAUGUCGAACGGCAGCACAGUAAGAGCUUGCUCUUACGGGUGGCGAGUGGCGGACGGGUGAGGAAUACAUCGGAAUCUACUUUUUCGUGGGGAUAACGUAGGGAAACUUACGCUAAUACCGCAUACGACCUACGGGUGAAAGCAGGGGAUCUUCGGACCUUGCGCGAUUGAAUGAGCCGAUGUCGGAUUAGCUAGUUGGCGGGGUAAAGGCCCACCAAGGCGACGAUCCGUAGCUGGUCUGAGAGGAUGAGCAGCCACACUGGAACUGAGACACGGUCCAGACUCCUACGGGAGGCAGCAGUGGGGAAUAUUGGACAAUGGGCGCAAGCCUGAUCCAGCCAUACCGCGUGGGUGAAGAAGGCCUUCGGGUUGUAAAGCCCUUUUGUUGGGAAAAAAAAGCAGCAGGUUAAUACCCCGCUGUUCUGACGGUACCCAAAGAAUAAGCACCGGCUAACUUCGUG